GUAGUCCACGCCUUAAACGAUGUAUGCUAGCUGUUGGGGCCCUUAGGGUCCCGGCGGCGAAGAGAAAUCAUUAAGCAUACCGCCUGGGGAGUACGGCCGCAAGGUUAAAACUCAAAGGAAUUGACGGGGACCCGCACAAGCGGUGGAGCAUGUUGUUUAAUUCGAAGCAACGCGAAGAACCUUACCUACCCUUGACAUACCGGUUGGGAGGACCAGAGAUGGACCUUUUCAUUUAGUUGGGCCGGAUACAGGUGCUGCAUGGCUGUCGUCAGCUCGUGUCGUGAGAUGUUGGGUUAAGUCCCGCAACGAGCGCAACCCUUAUCGUAUGUUGCCACCAUUUAGUUGGGCACUCAUAUGAGACUGCCGGUGACAAGCCGGA
rnacentral:rRNA from 1 species